rnacentral:rRNA from 1 species
UACGUAGGGUGCGAGCGUUGUCCGGAAUUAUUGGGCGUAAAGAGCUCGUAGGCGGUUUGUCGCGUCGGGAGUGAAAACACCGGGCUUAACUCGGUGCUUGCUUUCGAUACGGGCAGACUAGAGGUAUGGCAGGGGAGAAUGGAAUUCCUGGUGUAGCGGUGAAAUGCGCAGAUAUCAGGAGGAACACCGGUGGCGAAGGCGGUUCUCUGGGCAUUACCUGACGUGAGGAGCGAAAGCGUGGGGAGCGAACAGG